ACUGGCCACUCUAACGGACGCUAGCUAGCUAGCAGGUAGCAUCCAUGUCUAUCAUCAUUUGAAAUAUAUCUUUUUCUCCAUAAUGGCAGUCGCUCAACUUCAAAGUUCCCGGUACUUUGUGAUUUUUUCUUGCUGCUUAUCUUCAAUCCGUGCAUCACCAGCGACACAGAGUUUUGCCACUGCAUGCGUGGAAGCCGGAUUAGAGUCUUGGAGGAGAAAACCUACAUAAAAGUCAUCUUCCUCCCUGGCAAUCUCUCUAGUAAGGGGAGAAUGUAUAUUGACCUACAUACUCUGUAUAACUCACAGUACAAUAACACAUGUGAGAUA